AGGAGCCCCCACCCAUUGAUCCUGGCCAACCGACUCAAUCUGGUGGCUUGGACUCUUUCCGGGGUGCCUGGCAAGUCGGUGAACUAUUGCAGGCUGCUAAGGACAUCCUAUGGGACUCAUGGGCUCCAGGAACCAGAAGAUCCUACCUGUCCACUUGUAAUUCCUGGUCUGAUUGGUGCAUGGAACGGAACCUCGAUCCAUUUAUGGCCUCUAUUCUUCCAUUUUAAACUAUCUAACCCAUCUAUUCUCAACAGGACGAUCUUACAGAUCAAUUAAUGUGGUCCGUUCCGCUAUCUCAGCGGCCCACGUCCCUAUCGUUGGGACCCCAGUGGGUAAAGACCCACUGAUAUGUCGACUUCUCAGGGGCAUUCGCCUGCAACGACCCCCUGAACCUAAAUAUUCACGACUCUGGGAUGUCGAAAUAGUCCUACGCUUCCUGAG